CCUACGGGAUGCAGCAGUGAGGAAUAUUGGUCAAUGGACGAGAGUCUGAACCAGCCAAGUAGCGUGAAGGAUGACUGCCCUAUGGGUUGUAAACUUCUUUUAUAUGGGAAUAAAAUGUUCCACGUGUGGGAUUUUGUAUGUACCAUAUGAAUAAGGAUCGGCUAACUCCGUGCCAGCAGCCGCGGUAAUACGGAGGAUCCGAGCGUUAUCCGGAUUUAUUGGGUUUAAAGGGAGCGUAGGUGGAUUGUUAAGUCAGUUGUGAAAGUUUGCGGCUCAACCGUAAAAUUGCAGUUGAAACUGGCAGUCUGGAGUACAGUAGAGGUGGGCGGAAUUCGUGGUGUAGCGGUGAAAUGCUUAGAUAUCACGAAGAACGCCGAUUGCGAAGGCAGCUCACUGGACUGCAACUGACACUGAGGCUCGAAAGUGUGGGUAUCAAACAGGAUUAGAUACCCCAGUAGUC
rnacentral:rRNA from 1 species